rnacentral:rRNA from 1 species
UACAGAGGUCUCAAGCGUUGUUCGGAUUCAUUGGGCGUAAAGGGUGUGUAGGUGGCGCCGUAAGUCGGGUGUGAAAUUUCGGAGCUUAACUCCGAAACUGCAUUCGAUACUGAGGUGCUUGAGGACUGGAGAGGAGACUGGAAUUCAUGGUGUAGCAGUGAAAUGCGUAGAGAUCAUGAGGAAGACCAGUGGCGAAGGCGGGUCUCUGGACAGUUCCUGACACUGAGACACGAAGGCCAGGGGAGCAAACGGG